rnacentral:sRNA from 1 species
UAUAAAUGAAUUCAUUAAGUAAACUAUUUAAAUCAAUUAAAGAAGUAUAACAGUUACAUUUCAGUAAACAUUUGAAUCUACUGGUUAAUCCAAUAAUGGCUGUGACUACCUGCUCCAUGUCAGGGCUGUGAAAAUGUUCAGAGUCUGCCUUUGGGAGAUAUAACAUCUUGGAGGGAAAAGGAGAGCAAAGCAUGUUUCUUUAUGAUUUAUUUGUAACAGAUUUUCCCUUUUUGCACCUUCUGUUUUUCAGAGAUCUGUCUUACAACCUAUUAGAAGAUUUACCCAGUUUUUCAGUCUGCCAAAAGCUUCAGAAAAUUGACCUAAGACAUAAUGAAAUCUACGAAAUUAAAGUUGACACUUUCCAGCAGUUGCUUAGCCUCCGAUCGCUGAAUUUGGCUUGGAACAAAAUUGCUAUUAUUCACCCCAAUGCAUUUUCCACUUUGCCAUCCCUAAUAAAGCUGGACCUAUCGUCCAACCUCCUGUCGUCUUUUCCUAUAACUGGGUUACAUGGUUUAACUCACUUAAAAUUAACAGGAAAUCAUGCCUUACAGAGCUUGAUAUCAUCUGAAAACUUUC